ensembl:lncRNA
GGUACGACUCUUUAAAAACAGAUUAUUAUGAAGAUGGGAUAAUCUACGCGUGAAAGGAGACUAACUGGCAAAGUAAACAAAUAAAUAAAAAGUAACUCUGAGUGACAGGUCGUUGAGCCGGAGUUAUUGAUAGAUUCCACAAAGCGAUACCGUUGGAUCGAUGUCUCCCCGCCGAGGGGUCCGCAGCCCCCCACCAGCUAAAGGUCAGACGCACUCUCUGCCUCUCCCUUCCCUCCUCCCCUCAUCUUUAUCUGGCACGUCGUACAUCCAAGUACUCUUUGGGGCACCGCAGCUUUUCUGAACACCGUGCCGGGAGACGGAGGCUUGUUCAAAGUUAUCCCUCCCCCUGGGGUCCCUGCCGUCCGAUUGGCCUCCGUGGUGCUGCUUUUCGAAGAGGGAGACCAGCAGGCUCUUAGCGACACGACAAACUAAGAACAAAGAACUACGUCCGACUGAACGUGUGGCGAUAAGU